rnacentral:rRNA from 1 species
UGGAUCCAGACUUUGAUUAUGGCUCAGGAUGAACGCUAGCGGCAGGCUUAACACAUGCAAGUCGAGGGGCAGCGCGGGGUGGCAACAUCCUGGCGGCGACCGGCGGAAGGGUGCGUAACACGUGAGCAACUUGCCCGUCACAGGGGGAUAACCGGUGGAAACGCCGACUAAACCCGCGUAAGACGGAUUCCCGCAUGGGUGUCCGUUGAAAUCUGCGGAGGUGACGGAUGGGCUCGCGUCGCAUUAGCUAGUUGGCGGGGCAACGGCCCACCAAGGCGACGAUGCGUAGGGGUUCUGAGAGGAAGACCCCCCACACUGGGACUGAGACACGGCCCAGACUCCUACGGGAGGCAGCAGUGAGGAAUAUUGGACAAUGGAGGGAACUCUGAUCCAGCCAUGCCGCGUGAAGGACUAAGGCCCUACGGGUCGUAAACUUCUUUAGGGGCGGAGCAAUAAGGGCCACGGGUGGCCCGAUGAGAUUACGCCCAGAAUAAGCAUCGGCUAACUCCGUGCCAGCAGCCGCGGUAACACGGGGGAUGCGAGCGUUAUCCGGAUUUAUUGGGUUUAAAGGGUGCGUAGGCGGCCUGACAAGUCAGCGGUGAAAUUCCCGGGCUCAACCCGGGCCGUGCCGUUGAUACUGCCGGGCUGGAAUGCUCCCGCCGUGGGAGGAAUGAGUGGUGUAGCGGUGAAAUGCAUAGAUAUCACUCAGAACACCGAUUGCGAAGGCAUCUCACGAGGGGGCUAUUGACGCUGAGGCACGAAAGCGUGGGGAUUGAACAGGAUUAGAUACCCUGGUAGUCCACGCAGUAAACGAUGAUGACUAACUUUCGGGGCGAUGGGCCUCGGAGGCCAAGCGAAAGCGAUAAGUCAUCCACCUGGGGAGUACGACCGCAAGGUUGCAACUCAAAUGAAUUGACGGA